GGGGCUGUGGCUCAGUGGAAGAGUUUCUGCUUUGAAUGCAGAAGAUCCCAGGUUCAAUCCCCGGCAUCUCCA